UGGGGAAUUUUGCGCAAUGGGCGAAAGCCUGACGCAGCAACGCCGCGUGGAGGAUGAAGGUCCUCGGAUCGUAAACUCCUGUCGAUGGGGAAGAAAGCCCGCAAGGGUUUGACUGUACCCGUUGAGGAAGCCACGGCUAACUCCGUGCCAGCAGCCGCGGUAAUACGGAGGUGGCAAGCGUUGUUCGGAAUUACUGGGCGUAAAGGGCGCGUAGGCGGCUUUGCAAGUCAGAUGUGAAAGCCCCGGGCUUAACUCGGGAAUUGCAUCUGAAACUGCUUAGCUUGAGUCCUGGAUGGGGUAGUGGAAUUCCCAGUGUAGCGGUGAAAUGCGUAGAUAUUGGGAGGAACACCUGCGGCGAAGGCGGCUACCUGGACAGUGACUGACGCUGAGGCGCGAAAGCUAGGGGAGCGAACG
rnacentral:rRNA from 1 species